GAUUUAACCUACAUUGAAAAACAAUCAUUUCCUGUUUCAUGGGGGAGGGGGAAGAAGAAAGAAAGAAAUUCUCGCUCCAACAAAGGAAAAGAGAGGAGGGUUGGUGAUUGACGUCACCAGUCUUGGCAACAGGCACGAAUGCGUCUGCGCAUCUACUUUYUGAUUGGUCGUGUGGGUCGCACUCGGUACGUGAUUGGUCGGCUCUGUGCUCCAGCGGACUACAUAUCUGCACUGUAGAUUCCAUUUUGUUGCAAUCAGAAUCGGAGGAGAGAGAGUGAGGUGGCGUUUUGUAMGGCCACUGUGAACAGCAGAACCAGCCUCGAAGAGCGGCAGAUUUUGUAGGAAAUAUAGCUCGCUGUGAUUCCUACAUAGUCUGCUGAGUGACAUCAGAGGCUAACGACAA